GUCUCAGCUCGAGCAUUCCUAGCGCCAACACGCCCUCAGGUAAAGGUGGAAGUAAAUGGCCACGCUGUAUUGACAGAGCAGGUAGAUGAAACUCAAGAGAAAAGGUGUGGAUAAAUGAAACUAGCCCAUGAUGAACCUGUUUUCUCCGUGACCACAAUAUUAACCAGGAUGAAUGGCGGUGGCAGUGGGCCUGCAUCACAGGUUGCAGCAGAUGUUCUCAAUAUUUCUAUUAAAAUUUCCUUAUUUCCAUAUGCAAGAGGAGCCCCAGAGCUGCAUCCUUAUGGUAGCUACCAUGCCGUGAUGUAAGCUGCCAUUCACUGGGGAGCUUUGGCAAUAGAAUUGGCUAGAUCAGGAAGCCUAUGUCAACUAUGGAACAACAACUUGCAGCUCAUCUCUAUUGAUGAUGGAAUCUCGCUAUGUCACCAGGCUGGAGUGCAGUGGCGCAACCUCGGCUCAGCGCAACAUCCGCCUCCCGGGUUCAAGUGAUUCUCCUACCUCAGCCUCCUGAGUAGCUGGGAUUACAGGUGAAACAGUCGCAAAUGGAAUUCCAAGAAACAUUCUAUCAUCAGGUAUUAUCUACUGCUGUCUGCAGAAUUCAGACAUGGAGGGCUCAAUGGUGUCCCCUGGUCUUUGGAACAUUCUGUAUUUUAAUGAUCAUGAUACACUGCCUCUAGGACUGGGACAGAUAGCCACUGAGUACCUGCUUCAAAUCACCCUGCACGUUUUCUCUUUGGAAAGAUAAGCACUGGAGAACCAUCUCGUUACCUUCAGCAGAAAUGGAAACAAAUCAAGACAUUAAGAAUGCCGCAGUGGACAGCAGUUAUGCAAGGUUCAGCAGAGGAAGUUUUCAAGAUGGUGUGCCUCACUAGCCAGAAAUCAGAAAAGAUCGAAGCUAGCCUUUUCAUCUCAGCUGCUCCUUAAAUCAGUGCAACCCCUCCAAAUUAAUGUGAAUUGAAACUUGCAUUGCUUUUCAACUUAAUUGAAUACUUACUAUAUGUGAACCACUGCACAAAAUAGGGGAAGAAGAUGUGGGAGACAAAGAUGUGGAGCCUGUCUUCAAUAAAUUUACAGUUAGUUUCAGGGUACAUUGUUUUUCUUCUGCUGUUAAUUAGGUGUAUCCCCAAGACAAUAAAUACAUGAAUGGAAAAGUAUAUUCUGUGUUUUAAGUCUCUUUAAUAAAAAACAAAACAAAAUCCAAAAAAACUCCUAACAUGGCAACUCAGGACAUUUUAAUCCUUUUUUUUGUUGUUGGGCUUCUGAUAGGAUCCAUUUUAUUGAUUCCAUAAAUAUUUAGUAGACUUUAGACAUAUUAAUACAUUGUAGUUUGAGUUAAUUUGCAUUAAAUUCUGUUUUUUUCCCCUUAGGUAUAGAUUGUCUGUUGGAAAAAUAUAUUGCUUGUGGAUUUCUUGGGGAGUGGGAAGGUGAAUUAUACCUGUUGUCUCUACAGUCCACUACCUUCCACACCCUAGGGCAGUGGUCCCCAACCUUCUUGGCACCAGGGAUCAGUUUCCUGGAAGACAAUUUUUCUGUGGAUGGUGUGGGGAUGGUUUUGGGAUGGAACUGUUCCACCUCAGAUCAUCAGGCAUUAGUUAGGCUCUCAUAACGAGUGCGCAGCCUAGAUCCCUCACAUGCACAGUUCACAGUAGGGUUUGCGCUGCUAUGAGAAUCUAAGGCUGCCACUGAUCUGACAGGAGGCAGAACUCAGGUGGCAAUGCUUACUGGCCCACUGCUCACCUCUUGCUGUGCGGCCUGGUUCCUAAUAGGCCAUGGACCCCCACAGACGGGUACUAGUCUGCAGCCUGUGGACCCCAGCCCUAGGGGCCUGCCAUUCUGAGUGAGUUAUUAGCAUGAAGAAGAGGAAGAUCUGGAUCAAACGUGGGUGAUGGUACUCAGAGACCCAAGAUAGGAUAGGGAUGGAACAAAAUCCAUCUGGGCAACGGCUCUAUGAAAAUUUGGCUAAGUAAUUAUUUCAGUAUUCAUUGUAUUCAUUGUCCUUCGUGUUCCAUAAGUUAAAUGACUGUCUAAUUUUUCCAAAAAUUUAUUUCUGACUUGAGAAUAAGUGUGUCAUGAUUUUCCCAGUGUAAAGACACUGAUAUAACUGUAGAUACCAGACAUUUUAUGUAGUGUCUAUGACACAUUUUAGUAUGUAUGAGCCAACAAUAGACAUGUCUUUGUCUUGAGGAGUGUCCAUCUGAAUUGAAAAUGUGUCAGCUUUUUUUUAACAUCAUCAACAGACUUCUUAAUUAAGCUGCCAAUACAUACUGCCAAUAGCACUGUGUGCUGUCUGAGAAAUGCAUUGUGUAAGUGCUAUUUCCAUCUUAUUAAAUAAACAAUGUUGCUCUGUAUAAACUGGAUUUAAAGUGUUCUUUGAAUGAGGCAUUAUAUUGCUCCAUAAAUAAUGUGAUGUGAAUUCUCAUAUGAUCCCUUUUAACUUAAUUUCUAAAAAAAUAUUAUUUGCUCCUCAGUAAGGAAUAGCUCUAAUUGGACUGGUAACUUUAGUGAUAUGAUUUGUCUGUAACAGGCUGAAUCGCCCCACUCCCAAACUCCUGGUCGUGAUACUGGAUAUUUGUUAUGCCACUUUUAGUUUGCAUGAGGUAUCUUCCAGGAAGUAUUAGUUAUUAACUUGUGUUCUACUAAACUGUAGAUAUUUAUUUCCUGUUCUGGAAGAUUUCUUGGAGUGUCCAUCUGUGCAUUCCUGGUGCCUAGUGUAGUCUUGCUAAUGGAAUAGCACCUUUAUUGGUGCUACUUAGGGGUUGGUAGCUUACAAUCAAUCUACUUGGAACGUAUCCAAAUAAACUGGAUAUUUUUAUACA
rnacentral:lncRNA from 1 species